AGAAGCAGCGAGGUUGCGAGGUGACGAAGGGGAUCACAAGCAGUAACCACCACUGAAAGCGAGCCUGCAAGUAGGAAACGGGCACCACAGCCCGGACUCCCAGCUGUAAGGCACGUGGCGACGUCCCUGCGCCCCUGACCCAUGUUUGGUGCCCGGUGGUUUAAGUUGUAUUUACAAAGACAAACAACCAGCUGCUGCCCCCGCCCCCACCCCUGACCCGCCCAGGCCAAGCAGACGUGGGGGCGACGGCUCCGCUCCGCCCCUGCAGCAGCGAGGCGGGGAUCCUGUACCUGGCGGGAGUCGGAGGAGAGGCUGAUCCCAUGAGCCACCCUUCUUCCACACUAAUGCAAAGUCUUUUCGCUUUGGAAUUCUCUUCUGUAUUGGCAUUUGGGGCUGCUGUGCUCUUUAUGCCCUUGAGUGGAGGGUGCAAGGAUAUGUAGAGUACAUGCCUGGCCCCAACAGACACUACUGGCCAAAAAAAAUCCAAUCUUGGGCAGCGGGAGCAUAUUCGUACCUAGAAUGGGAUCCACAUGGAGAAAUCAUCUAGAACAACAACAGGUACUGUAAGAUCAUUCAUGAAGAUGUUGAACAGCACAGGUCCCAGUAUGGAUCACU